UGGGGAAUAUUGCACAAUGGGCGAAAGCCUGAUGCAGCAACGCCGCGUGAGCGAUGAAGGCCUUCGGGUUGUAAAGCUCUGUCUUUUGGGACGAUAAUGACGGUACCAAAGGAGGAAGCCACGGCUAACUACGUGCCAGCAACCGCGGUAAUACGUAGGUGGCAAGCGUUGUCCGGAAUUACUGGGCGUAAAGAAUGCGUAGGUGGAUAUGCAAGUCAGAUGUGAAAUACCCGGGCUCAACUUGGGUGCUGCAUUUGAAACUAUAUAUCUAGAGUGCAGGAGAGGAAAGCGGAAUUCCUAGUGUAGCGGUGAAAUGCGUAGAGAUUAGGAAGAACACCAGUGGCGAAGGCGGCUUUCUGGACUGUAACUGACACUGAGGCAUGAAAGCGUGGGGAGCAAACA
rnacentral:rRNA from 1 species